GUCUAUCCCAAGUUACAGACGCUCAAGAAUUAUAUUUAUCCGAUUCUCGUACAUAAGAUAAAAGGAGUCAAAGAGGGUGAAAGAGCUCGGGCACAGCUAGCUCAUAGAGAUAAUCAAACUUCAAGUACGAGAUAAUGUGCAUGUGCGGCUACUUCCCAAUACAUGAAGGUAUGCGAGUCAUCUGACAUGAAAAAACCAGAAGCUGCAGGCUGCAACCGAUCACAGCGGGUAUAUAUGCAUUUUGCCAUUUCAACAUAUUUAGUUAGAGAUCGAUCGCUUGCCGUCCGGUACGUAAUUAACUCUACCCAUACUGUUUUAGAGUCAUGAAAAGACGGUUUAAUUCUUGGGUUUCAAGCAAGAACGUACGUACAGUAGAGAAAUUAAACAUUUGAACUUGAAGUUUCGGAUCGUAUCAGACAUAACCAAACUUGAAGUUCUGGAUUUUGAAGUAAUUCUAUGAUUUUAAGUACUAGAAUUCAUAGAUUUGAAGUAAACUUGUACGUAAAGGCAUAAACUUGUGUGGUACUAUGUAUCGAUGAUCUUGUGUACGUAUAUACUUGAUCGUAUAUAUGUAAGAUUAUGUAGACAAUAUAAUGUUUGUGAGAACCUUGAACACAUUAUCACCCCACAAAUAUAUAAUGCAAUCUACAUAUCUCUUUAGGCUUUACUGCUCCCCUUUCUCCGCCUUCUGCGUUAGUUCUUCUAUCAAUCUAGUCCAACUCCCACCCAACAAGUUCUAGUGAGUACUAAAUACUUAUUUCCUAGAUGCCUUUCUUGCUAGGAAUGUCUUUUCCAUAGGAUCACCUCCAAGGCUCCAAGAAGCCACAAGUUCACAUGCCCCGCCUAACUCAUGGAAAUUAGAAGCAAAAAGGAAAACACGUACACUCUACAUAUAUAGGUAAUUUGCGUAUCAAAUAUCGAAUCUCAUCUAAUAUACUCGAUCAAGAUUGGCUAUAUGUGAACCAGUUCAUCCGGGUUUGAUAUAGCGGGCAGGGGUUGGUUACGUUAAACUGAAAUAAGUAACAAUAAUUAACACUUACUAUGCCAUAAAUUAUAGUGAGCUACAAAAACCUAAUCUAAUUAAGCGAAUAAAUUAAAGCAGGGAACUAUUUCUAACCUAAUUUUUUAUGAAUAGCUAAUAGUAUACCUUGUAAAUGCUAGUUAGUGGCCUAGCUAAUAGUAUACCUUUUAUUAAUUAUGAAGGGAUGCAAAUUAAUCCUACAAAAAGAUAAUGGGAUUAUUGAGAGUCGAAAAUAUGUGUGUAUGGGUAAAAGUAAGACUAAUACCAAAUGCCUUAUUCCAUAUUAUUGAACAAUUAUAAUGUCACUGUGUAUAAUUAUAUAUGUAGAACGAUGGAAAUUUACAUCUCCAUAGUUUCUUCUAUAAUAACAACAAAUUAAGCGCUUUUGAUGCAUGCACUACAUAUUCUUGAUUACAUAAUGACACAACCCUUUCAAUUUCAUGGAUUCUUUAUGCCUUUGCUUGAAGUAGAACACAGUGUUGAGUCUAGAGGGUGAUCAUUGACAUAGUGGCUAGGAGCAGAAGAGCGACGAAAUCCUUUUGGCAAGCAACCCUCCACGAUGUUGGGGUUUCCGAAAACUGUAGGAACACUGCCCUUAUUAGGUCUGAGGGAUACGAACGUCGAAGGGUUUGAAUUAUAUGAUUGAUCCACUGAUCUCAUCGAAGCCAUAACUCUAGCUUCCGAGCUCACUUGGGUGAGAGGAGGAGUCAAGAGAAUCAACAAGAUAUAGAGCAGCACGGCCAUCAGGUAAGAAGCAGUACCACUACAGAAGGUCAUUGCGAUCAGAUUCUGGGUAAGUUUGAGCUUAUAUAUGGAAGAAGAAGAAGAAGAAGAAGAAGAAGAAGAAGAAGUAGAAGAAGAAGGUGGAACGUUGGAGAGUAAGAGGGAAGCCUUAAAUAGGGUCAUGAGAAUCGAGUAGUACCAUAUUGUGGGAAACGUAGCUAGAUAUGACGACCAACUACUCAGGCUAGCUAGCAAAGCUUGCAUGCUGGUUUUUGCACUUGUUGGUAGCUAAGCUACGUUUAAUUUGUUCACUUUUUGACAAGUAUAAUGCUGGCAUGGUAAGGAUGCCCGUGCACUCCAUCACUCUUUUGCCAAAGCUUUCGUCAUGACAAAGUCAGCCUCUUUGAUUUUCCUCAUCAUUUUUUGUCAACAUGAGAUCACAGUGAUAUAGAUAAAACUAAUAAUGUUAUAUAUGAUUUUAAAAUAGCAAGUUAUCGCAAUAUAUAGUUUAAGUUUCAUUUCAUAUCAAAAGAAUAAGCUUCAUUUCAUAUAAACAGUAUGAACAAAUUAACAACACGUCAAUGGGUUUUUAUUUUUUGUUUUUCUUUUAUAUGUAUCGAACUUAAAGAGAUGAAGCAUUUUGGAUUGAGAAUGUAAAAUAAAAAUUUAAAAUAUUGUAGUUUCACUUUAUGUAUGCAUAACACGAUACAAGAUUAACAACAAUUACGUAUACGAUGCCAUUUCAUUUAAGUUGAAAUGCAAAUUAAACCCUAGAAUCUCUUUAGUAAUCCGAUA
rnacentral:lncRNA from 1 species